CACGUAGGGCGCAAGCGUUGUCCGGAAUUAUUGGGCGUAAAGAGCUCGUAGGCGGUCUGUUGCGUCUGCUGUGAAAACUCGGGGCUUAACCCCGAGCCUGCAGUGGAUACGGGCAGACUAGAGGUAGGUAGGGGAGAAUGGAAUUCCCGGUGUAGCGGUGAAAUUCGUAGAUAUCGGGAGGAACACCGGUGGCGAAGGCGGCGACCUGGGUAGAUACUGACGCUGAGGCGCGAAAGCGUGGGGAGCAAACAGG
rnacentral:rRNA from 1 species